GUGCUCGCUUCGGCAGCACAUGUACUAAAAAUUGGAAUGAUACAGAGAAGAUCAGCA
rnacentral:snRNA from 1 species